GACGAACGCUGGCGGCGUGCUUAACACAUGCAAGUCGAACGGAAAGGCCCUGCUUUUGUGGGGUGCUCGAGUGGCGAAGGGGUGAGUAACACGUGAGUCACCUGCCCUUGACUGUGGGAUAACUUCAGGAAACUGGGGCUAAUACCGGAUAGGAGCUCCUCCUGCAUGGUGGGGGUUGGAAAGUUUCGGCGGUUGGGGAUUGACGCGCGGCUUAUCAGCUUGUUUGGGGGGUAGUGGCCUACCAAGGCUUUGACGGGUAGCCGGCCCGAGAGGGUGACCGGCCACAUUAGGGCUGUGAUACGGCGCCGACUCCUUCACGCGGCAGCGGUGGGGGAUAUUGCACAAUGGGCGGACGCCUGAUGUAGCAACGCCGCGUGCGGGAUGACAGCCUUCGGGUUGUAAACCGCUUUCGCCUGUGGCGAAGCGGGAGUGACGGUAAUGGGUGAAGAAGCACCGGCUAACUACGUG
rnacentral:rRNA from 1 species